rnacentral:rRNA from 1 species
CAAAAGCAUAUAUUAACAUUGUUGCGGUUAAAAGGCUCGUAGUCAAACCUAUGUCCUCUGGUUUGAACCUAGUGUCUAGUACACUUUGUGUUCCUAACCGAUGGUCAUCGUUCUGGACGGGACUUCUGCUCUUGAUUGAGUUGGUUGUUCUGUGCAGAUCAUUUACUGUGAGUAAAUCAGAGUGUUCCAGGCAGGCUUAACGCCCUGAAUGCUUUAGCAUGGAAUAAUACGAUAAGGCUUAGGUUUUAUUUGUUGGCUUCUAAAAUUUAAGUAAUGAUUGAAAGGGACAGUUGGGGGUGCUAGUAUUUAGCGGUCAGCGGUGAAAUGCUCAGACCCGCUAAAGACUACCAUAUGCGAAAGCGUUCACCAAGGAUGUCUUCUUUGA